GCUGGCGGCAGGCCUCAUACAUGCAAGUCGAGCGGUCCUUCGGGACAGCGGCGAACGGGUUAGUAACGCGUGGGAACGUGCCCUUUAGUACGGAAUAGCCAUUGGAAACGAUGAUUAAUACCGUAUACGCCCCAAGGGGGAAAGAUUUAUCGCUAAAGGAUCGGCCCGCGUUAGAUUAGGUAGUUGGUAGGGUAAUGGCCUACCAAGCCGACGAUCUAUAGCUGGUUUGAGAGGAUGAUCAGCAACACUGGGACUGAGACACGGCCCAGACUUCUACGGAAGGCAGCAGUAGGGAAUCUUGGACAAUGGGCGGAAGCCUGAUCCAGCCAUGCCGCGUGAGUGAUGAAGGCCCUAGGGUUGUAAAGCUCUUUCGCCAGGGAAGAUAAUGACGGUACCUGGUAAAGAAACCCCGG
rnacentral:rRNA from 1 species